rnacentral:rRNA from 1 species
GGAAUAUUGCACAAUGGGCGAAAGCCUGAUGCAGCGACGCCGCGUGAGUGAUGAAGGCCUUCGGGUUGUAAAGCUCUGUUGUCAGGGAAUAAAAAAAUGAAUGUACCUGACCAGAAAGGACCGGCUAACUUCGUGCCAGCAGCCGCGGUAAUACGAAGGGUCCAAGCGUUGUUUGGAAUUAUUGGGCGUAAAGCGAGUGCAGGUGGCUUUUUAAGUCAGGAGUGAAAGCCCAGGGCUCAACCCUGGAAGUGCUUUUGAUACUGGAAAGCUUGAAUGUGGUAGAGGGUGCUAGAAUACCUAGUGUAGUGGUGAAAUACGUAGAUAUUAGGUGGAACACCGGUGGCGAAGGCGGGCACCUGGACCAACAUUGACACUCAGACUCGAAAGCGUGGGGAUCA